CUGAAAAUGUGCUUACGAUUUCAUUCAGGCAGAGAGAAAUAUGUUUUUAUUUUAUUUCAUAGGAUUAUUUAGUACAAAUAUAAAAAAUUGUCUUAAUCUUUUACAAUUUACAAAUAUGAUUUGGUAGUGUGUUUUUUCAUGCACAUGGUACAUGAAACUUGUAUGAUCUUACUUUUGUCAGAGAUCUAUGAACUAUUGAAAAUAGGACGUUCUGGAAAACACAAGUCGCAUUAUAAAAUGCUUGUUAAAUUCCGUUACAUGUGGUACGUUCAUAUUUAAAUACCUUUCUGUUGAAUAAGAAAGUGUAAAAACAGUUAUUGAAAUUCGCCUGA
rnacentral:lncRNA from 1 species